GGCACCAUGGCCUAAUGGUAAGGCGUUGCUUUCCGGCGGGCGUAACAGCCAAGAAGACUGGCAAAGAUUGUGGGUUCGAGUCCCACUGGUGUCG